rnacentral:lncRNA from 1 species
CACUUUUUGUUUGUGUUUCAAUGUGUUGCAGGUACUAUAACUCUAGGAUUAAGCCAGCUGGUGGCUGACUGCUGUGGUUCUGUAGCUUACAAUCCACUUAAUGAGAUUUGCUGUAAUGGCAGGAUUCUGACUCAAAGCAGCACUCACGUGAAAUGCUGCGGCAAAGACAUGUACUUGACAGCGACUCAUUUGUGUUGUGGUGGCAACAACAUAUUUCAACGGAAGGAAAAUCAUUCUUGUUGUGGCAAGGAAACAUAUGACAAGACAACCCACUGCUGCUGUACUAACCCUGCACUAGAAGUAAAGCCUAAACAUGAAACUUGCUGUUCAAAAACAACAGGUAAAAAGAAAGAAUGCCAGCAAGGCUCUCCUCCCAUUCGCUCAAGCACACUCCCCAAAAACUUAGAAUUAAAGUGUGGAACGAAACCCUUCAAUCCCCAGGAAGAAAUGUGUUGCUCAGGGAAUCUGUAUAAGAAGGCAUCAGCACUUACUAAGUGCUGUGGCGUAGAUUCUUACACUCUGUCAGAUGACAGAGUGCUGUGCUGUAAUGGAAUUCUUUAUCGCAAUGUAUCUGAGCAGUCCGAGUGUGUUGGAGGUGUUAUAUAUACUCCAGCAAACACUACUUGCCAAAUGUCGACCCGUCCUCGUCUUGGCGAGCACUGCUGUGGAGGACAAACCAUUAAUCAUCGCACGCAUAUUUGCUGUAACGAACACAGCCACAUCAAGAUGAAUGGCAAUUUCUGUUGUGGUUCAGAAGUCUAUGACCACCACAACCAGUUCUUGAGAUGCUGUUCAGGUCAUCUCUACAACCUAACCCAUUUACAUGGAAAAGCAGAGUGCUGUGGAAACCUAUUGCUACAAUAUAAUAACAAUCAAACUUGCUGUUCCUCCUCAACCAAUUCCAUAAUUUAUGACACCAAACCAAACCACCAUUGCUGUGGGCAUUACUACUACAACACAUCCCUGUGGAGCUGCUGUGCUGAACGUCUCAAACCAACACCAAAGCCUAACAGCUCUCCUGAAGAAUACAGGCUUAAACCACUAACAGACCUGAUCCCUGAAAUGUGCAAUAAAACAGGUGAUGCUUUUAAACAUUUAUUGUGGUGCAAACUGAAAUAGGAUUUUCUGGAAGCAGACUAAAUGAUCUCUUUUUGUGUGUGUGGGUGUUUCUAGUGUUCUUUGGCAAAGUGGAGAGUGUGGCACUUGAAAAUUAUCAGCGUCACGUUGUGUUGAAAGUUGUUGGGCUGGUCGAUGUAAAAUCAGAAAAGGUCAUCAAAGACCCUUGGCUUCAUGUGUCCCUGGAUCACUGCAGCUCUCCUGCCACAGACGACGGCAUGACCUACCUUUGGGAGGAAAACCACAAUGGGAAGUACAAGCUUCUCUCUCACCCUGUUGACCUAAUCUCUGACAUUCACAUGUUCUAUUUUGUAUGUUACCAAAAGAAGGGAUAGACAUAUGGAUUGAGGUUUAUUUUCUAUAAGGUUAUCCUAAUACUAUUUUAUCAUUAAUGCUAAAUUACUCUAGUAUGUGAGUGGCCACUAUAUUUGAAAGCUAAGAACCUUUGGCCCCUUAAGGCAAUUUUCCGAAGUCUCUACUGUCUGCAGCAUUAUGGCAGAGGCAUCACGUUGUGCAUCUGUGAAUUUUGCCUCAUUGGUUAAUUUUAUUUAAACCCUAAUAAUAGAUUGACCCUGUAUGGAGUGUGCAAAAGGGAUAGUUCUCCCAAAAAUGAGAAUUUGCUGCUAAUUUAUCCACCUUUAGUCCAUCUAAGAUGCAGGUGACUUUUUGCUGAGUAGAAGAUUUUUAGCUGAUACCAUGGUUUUUGGUGAUGCAUAAAAUGCAAGUCAGCGGCUGCCCGUUUUUGAGAAUUAAAAAAAAGAAAUGCAUAUCAAGGAAGACAAAAUUAUAUGCAUCACAAAAAAAAUAUCACAAUUUAAUAUUGUGAAUUGAUCGUUCUGUGCAAGAAACACUGUUUUAUAUGUCUAGAGCAUAUAAAGUGAAUAAACUAGGUUAUCAUCAGCUCACCUUUUUACAUAAAGAUAAAUCAUAACAAUUUUAACUUUAACCAUACAUUUUUUCUGGAAGUGAGUUUUGAUUGAUUAACUUGUAGAUCUGUGCUGCUCGACUUGCCAACUGUUUCAGAUGAUUCAGUCCAAUUUGUUGAACUGGUUCAACAACCAAAAAGAAAUUGUAAAAAAAAACAACAAAAAAAACUUAUUUAAUGUUCUACUGAAGAGUAAAAGUCACCUACAUCUUGGAUGGUCUGAGGGUGAGUAAAUUAACAGCACAUUUUCAUUUUUGGGUGAACUAUUC